UGGCUCCAUUGUGGUAGCAUCAACAUUGCAGGGCUGGACAAGGCGGGGUCAGGGGAAUUUGCCUUCGCUCUGACGCACCACAGACCGGGAGCCACCUGAGGUAAGCAGCACCCUAGCCAGAGCUAGCACCCCUCACCUCUUCCUGAAUUUAAUUGACAUGUCAUAUCAAUGUGAUGGUGAUCUUGUCAACACUCAAUGAGCCUUCCGGGUAUAUGUUGACAUAAACAUGUAUGAUCUGUGCAUGCUCACAAUCAGAUCCUAUGACUUUCUUCAGUUAAAAAUAAACACUGGCUUUCCAGCUGGUGUAAAUAUCAGACUGGCAAUCAGUCUGGUGCAUUCUGACAUCUGUUCCCAAGUUCAUUGUGGGGAUUAUGGCCCUGGUCUUGCCCCCGUCAGUUCUGGGAAGUAACGUUGGUUGGCUGGAGCUUAAUGUGCAAUAUAAGGAACUGUCACUGGCUAGUUUUAAAAAAAUACACAUUAGCUCUGGUUCAUAACAGCUGAGCACCAAACCUCCAAUCCACUAGUCAAAAACUGGACAAGAGCAGCCUGUGGUGUGGCAGCAUCUCACGCUUUAAACAGGCAACAUGCUGGAUAGAGUAGGAAACCGACCACUAAAUGUGAAGUCUGAUUCCCCCGCCUAGCUUUUGCCAUGGACCUUCGUUAAUGCAAGCUCCAUGCACUGGAAGAAGCAGGCAUAUAGUAGUGCCUAGCUGUGCUUAUUUUUAAAAACCCCCAACAAAUUCUAGGCUUGUGGUUCCAGAAAGCCCAUUGAACUAAAACUUUGGUGUGUCCGCAUUUAAUGAGCCAUUUGUGGCAAAGGAACGGCAGUGAUGUUAAAAUCAGAGGUCAUGUGCAUGGGAAAAAAAAGUGCUAUAUUUUUAUUCACUGGUGAUACCCGUAAAAGCCUUGCCCUUUUCAAACAUGAUUAGUGCUUGGGACCCGUAGUCACUAUCACAUCACUAACAGCGUGGCACAUUAGCAGAGCUGGAUUGUAGGGCAGCACUGUGUCGCAAAUGGGCCUUUAGGUUGCCAGCUGUCCACUGUUGGACCAGAACACUCAGUCAAAAAGGGACCCCAGUGACUCUGGUUGUGUUGGUAGACUCCUUACCUGGCUCUGCAAGCAGUAACAUGGCCCUCGGCUCUUAAGACAAGGAGGGAUGCUUGGGGUAGGCUCUGCAGUGCCCAUUGGACAGAAACUGCAGCCAAUGAGAGUGGAAGAGGAGCACCACCUGCAGGCUGAGGUAACAGCAUGCACCACGGAGACCUGUCUGGCUGUACCUCCACCUAGGAGCCAGGGGAUAUGUUGCUGCCUUCAGGGAGCCACCUAAGGAGGAACAGCUGCACCCAGCAUCAAAGCACCCUCAUUUAUCAGCUAAUGUCUUAAAAACAGAGCCUUAGCCACUGCUUUCUCCAGGUGUGCUUUAAAACUCCGCACACAGAGGCUACGUCUACACUACGCAUUCUUGCGCAAGAAGAUUUGCAAUUGAGCAACAAAACUUUUGCUCCCCGAAAAGCAAAAGUUUUGCCUCAGCAACUGGUAGCGUAAAUGGUGCAGUUCAUUGGCAGCAGGCUCCCUGUUGACAAUGCAAUAAUGGUUGGAAGGAUUUUGUCAGCAAACUGCGUGUACAUUGCCCAAUGCUGCAUAGAAUAGACAAAGCCAAGUCAGACGAUAAGAGGCGAGAGGCAGGAACACAGUUGCCUAUAAAUAGCUUUGCGUAUUUGGGAGUUCUAUGUUCCUCUGUUUUCUACAAAACUGAGCACCUGUCCAGCUCUCCACUAGUAAUAAAACCAUUUAAAUGCUUGCCUCUCGCUACCUAAUCAUGUUUAUUGCCCUCUUUCUCUGCUCUGUUGCUUAAUUUUGCUUUAAUAAAAUGCAAUUUCAAUUGAACUUUCUAUUGGAUCCUUUUUAAGGUAACAGCAGUAGUCACAAGCAGUAGAAGGUCUAACUUCUCCACCUCGUUUCCCAUCACCGUUCCCAAGCCCCACUGAGCAAAAGAAGUAAUAGACAUACCCAGAUCAAUUUUAUUUUGCAUACAUAUGAAACAUGACCCUAUCAAAAGUUACAGGGCUUCUUUCCACCUUUUUUUUUUCUUGUAAACUAAAGGGAAACAAAAAACAAAACCCCCCAAAACUUAGAAACCAAAAGGAGAAGAAAAGCAUGCAAGCAAUCUGCAAAUAAUUCUUAGAUUUAUCCACAGUGCUGCUGUGUUUGCAAUUAAGUACCAAACAACUUCACUAGAACAGGAGUUUGACUUCAUUGUAAGAGGUGGUUAUAAUCCACCAACAAUAGCAAAAGAAACAGUUGAAUUGCAGAAAAACUUCACCAGAAGUUGAAUUUAAAUAUACAGCAUAAGAAUCCACUGGAAAAGGGUUCUUUCUACUCAACGUAAUCAGGAAAACAACAAAUCUUAGACACAUUUAAUAAUAUAAAAGGGUUUAACAACACCUAUUCACUCACAUCAUAGGACCUACUCAAAGAAAAAAAGACUCCCUUGAUUCAGUUAAAAAAAAUACAGUGUAAAUGCAGCCAUAUUAUGUGAUCAUAGGCAGCUUACAGUUACUGUUCACCCUAGUUUAGAAAAUACAUACAACUGUGCUAUGUGGGUAAAUGGGUCUUUUGACCACAUCAUACAUGUAUCUCAUAUGUUCAUAGGGCCUGCAUUGCGAAGUCAGAAGCAGCUGCUGCAUCCUUACCACCGGCCACUGCAGGAAGAAUAUUUUAACGGUAAUAUUCUGAGGACAACAUAGUAUUGCUGUGAUACUUUGGAAAUGCAUGUUUUUCUACAGUGUUCUUCAAUGUAGGUUUCAAUGGAAGGGUAAUUGGAUGAAAGCCACUGGUCUGUGUUAUACAGGUCAGACUAGCUUUAUCUAUUGAUCCCUUCUAAAAAAUCUAUUAAGCCCAUGAAUAACACUGCAAUAGGAGAGUUCACUAUGUGCGAGUCAUCACAGGUUUGCACUGCAGGUUUUCCCACCAACAUUCUGUUCCCACUGCAUACACGUAAGUAGCAAAACCGUAUGAGCAACAAGGAGCUCUCAAUAGUCAGUGGUCAGGCCUCAAUUCUGCAAACAUUUAUGUGCAAUCUUAAUUUUCAGGCCCCGAGUACUUGUACUGAAGCCUCCUUGCUUAAGGUUAAGCACAUAUGUGUUUGCAGGAUCUGGCACUUUGGGUACUAUAAUAAUGGGAGCUAGCGAGAGAUAUGCAACAACAACAAAAAAAGAGAUUACAGUAAAUUUAGAUUGUUUUGUUCAGCCAUUAUCAGCUGGGUGGAAUGGAGAAGAAUUUUGCCCAUUGAUGUCUUUAUUACCACCCAAUAUUAGGACAAUCAAAAAUAUCACAGGUUUCACAAAGUUUGGUUUGCGAUUUCACAUCAACUCUCUCUUAAGUUUGCAAAAAAGAAGAACAAAAAAAAAAUUAGAAUUUGAUUAGCUGGUUUUAAAUCUGCAAAGUAGGCUGUAAGGAUAAGCAAGAGAUCAGGUCAAAGUUCAUGUUGGAAUGCAAUGUACCAGCACAACAGAAAGGAAUGAGCUUUGCCAUGUAUCAUGAAAUCCUACAGUCUCAGUAAGUAGGAAUGUCUCUUUUUUUUUCCCCAAAGAGAUAAAUGGUUAUGAACGUCACUAUCAACACUCCUAAACCACAUGUUGAACAUGAGCCCAUAUGAUCUGAUUUAAUAACUACCUGUGGUCUUUAAUACAAGUGCAAAUGCAGGGCCUAGUUCUAAUCUCAUACCAGUGGAAUUGCAUUGACUUUACCAGCAUUCCUUUUGUUGGAGCCUAGUAACGGGCCAGCCACCCGGCAGCACAACAAGGAGCCCAGCAGCCCCACUACUGCCAAGUGGCAUAGCUGCUCAGAAGGACUAGGAGGCAGCAGGGGUGCCCAGCAAGACUGAAGCCCAAGCUGGGCUGUCACUCUGCAGUGCAGCUGAACCCCAGCAAGGGGGCUGCCCCGUGGGGCCGAGAGCCUGGAGGUAAGGCUGUGCAUGAGAUGGUGGGGCUGGGAGCCGUGUGUGCAGAGCAGCUGGCAGCAGGGGGAAGUUGGCUGGAAGGCUGGCAGCGAAGCCAUGACUGGAGGGUCGGAGGUGGGGGGGAGAGACAAGAGGCAAGGGGGGGCCCCCAGCAAUGACCUUCCCCGGUCCAGCAAAAUCCCUUAUCCGGGACCAGUCAGGUCCUGAAUGUGCUGGACCAGAGAGAUCCAACCUGCAAAUCCAUGUACUAAGGAACUCUUACUGCACAUCAGCAGGGUCCAUAUGGCGCAGCAGGCUGGCAUGGGGUAGAUUCGUGACUCAGCUUGCCACAAACAAAAUGUUUCUACAGAUAAGCCCUUUUAUUUAGAAAACUCCCCGAACAACCCAGCCUUACAGGUUAGCAUUUUUAACCUCUGAUGUCAUCUUUAGCCUUUCAUUUAUUUCUUCCUGAAAGUAAGACGAAUAGUUAAAUGCUGAGAUAAAACCCAGCACAAAGGCAAAAUGCUACCCACUGCUGCUGGCAGGAGAAGCCUCUGCUUAUUAACCAAGUUUAAUCCUUUCCUUUGGGACAAAUCCUGAUCCCAUUGCAAUCAAUGGUAAAUCUCCCAUCGACUCCAGCAUGAUUGGGAUUUGGCCCCUUAUGACUGCCUACAAAUCAUCCACAGGCGUUUAUGAAAUGUCUUUCUAUGACUGGAACGUCACAUUCACCGAAGCCCAUUCAGUGCAACACAAUUCAAACAGAUGUAAUUUUAGUGUAUUUAUAGCAGACCAAUUCCUCCCAGAGAAUACCCGGAGUGGCCCUCCCGAAAAUAUUUUCUCCUAGAUGCCAUACAAUCAAUAGGAAUUCUGUCCACGUUAGGACUGCUGGGUUUGAUCCUUUAAAGCAGGGGAUGGGAACCUCAGGAGCUGGAUGUAGCCCUUGGCUUGCCUGGAUUCCGCCUCCCCAAGGCUCAGGGUCUCCCCCUACAAUGGGGAGCCUGUGCUGGAACUCCAGCCCCCCUUCUGCCUCACCAUGGGGCUGGAGCACACAAAAUAUACUAGGCUGGGCCCCGUUAUGCUCUGGUGUGCAACAGGAAUGCGGGAAGUGUCUUUCUCCUCGUUUGGAUGCCAUGUCAGGGAGGGGUUUUUGUGUGCAGCACUCAACUGAUUUUUCUGUAGGUCAGUGGCUUGACCCAAAAAAGGUUCUCCAUCCUGCUUUAAAGGGUACUUCUAUUUGGAAAAAUGUCUAAAAAGAGGGGGGAGGGUUCUUGGAUUUACUGGUACUCAGUACUUUCUGUACUGACAGUGCACAAUUUACAAACAAAAAGAUGUUUAGUUUUGAUUGUUAGACCCGGCAAGCUCAACCUGGGCUGAGAAGUAGGCUUUCAGACACAACAUCACUAGUGAGAAAGGCCAAAUAAGGCCCUCAAUUUCCCCUGUGCAAUGCAGGGCUAUGUCUACGCUGCAGACAUAAAAUUUGUGGCGCGUCUACACUGCACGUGCAUUUUUACGCGAGUAAAUUUACAGUAAGGCGUUGGAGCAGAGCGCUUCUUGUGCAAGUUAUUCCUCUCCCUACGAGGAAUAAGUUCUCUUGCACAAGAGCUCUUGCGCAAGGAGGCAGUGUGGACGGGCAACAGGGGUUUCUAUAGCAAGAAACCUCUAGGGCUAAAAUGGCCAUCAGAGCUUUCUUGUGCAAGAGAGCAAUCCCACUGCCAUGGACGCUCUUGCGCAAAAGCACAUGGCAGUAUGUAGCUCAAGUACUUUUCCGCAAGAACUCUUGUGCAAAACAGUUCUUAUGCAAAAAGCCUGCAGUGUAGACGUAGCCCAGAUAUCUUGGGAUUGUGUGUUCAGUUAAACAUGGGCCCCAACAUUCAUUCAAUGGGAUACAUUGAACUGGUGUAACUUCAGUUCGAGCAGCAGUAAAAGCACCAUACUUUAAUUGGAAAUAAUCAAAAUAAGUGCAAAAAUGUCUGUAAAACCAACCAUCCAUAAGAAUUUCAGGAGAAAAGGUUUUGUUUGUUUGAAGUUAGGGAGUGGCCACUGCCACUCAAAGAACCUACCAGAAAUAUGAGGCAAAUAAAAACGAGGAGGACAUUUUCAGCAUGAUAGCUGCAUGGUCAAAAUGUCCAUGCAUUAGACUGAGAAGCAACUCUUAAACAGAUGUCAUAGAAAGUUAUUGUGCUUAAAGCAUUGUUAAGAGAGAAUUUUCAAAUCUCUUGAUUGGAGAACACAACACCCUUUUGUACUCCACUCUGUAGCUGUAAGACCAUAACCAAAACCAGCGAGCUAACAUGCUGUAUGGAACAAGGACCUAGUCAUCACCCAGUGAAGUCAAGGACAAAACUCCCAGUGGUUCCAAAGGGACUAAGAUGGGAGCCCAAAGCCCAGAUGCAAGUUCAGUGCCUAAAUACAUUGAGGAUCUGGGCCUAAGUUCUCUUUUUUUUCUAUUUUAACUUUAGGGCAAAAAAACCCUUCUGUGCACUGACAUAUUUCUAAGAAGUUUCUCUACAAGGGUUGCUAUGUGAGCUGAUAACAUCUUCCCUGCCAUAGAUAGGCCAAUCUAAUAUUUAGAUCAUCAAUUAUAUUUUACAAUCUUAUCCUUGGCAAA